rnacentral:rRNA from 1 species
UGGGGAAUCUUGGACAAUGGGCGCAAGCCUGAUCCAGCCAUGCCGCGUGAGUGAAGAAGGCCUUCGGGUUGUAAAGCUCUUUUACCAGGGACGAUAAUGACGGUACCUGGAGAAUAAGCCCCGGCAAACUUCGUGCCAGCAGCCGCGGUAAUACGAAGGGAGCUAGCGUUGUUCGGAAUCACUGGGCGUAAAGCGCACGUAGGCGGAUAGUUAAGUCAGGGGUGAAAUCCUGGGGCUCAACCCCAGAACUGCCUUUGAUACUGGCUGUCUCGAGGUCGAGAGAGGUUGGUGGAAUUCCUAGUGUAGAGGUGAAAUUCGUAGAUAUUAGGAAGAACACCAGUGGCGAAGGCGGCCAACUGGCUCGAUACUGACGCUGAGGUGCGAAAGCGUGGGGAGCAAACAGGAUUAGAUACCCCCGUAGUCCCUGAGCGGGCUGGCAAGGCGCAU